rnacentral:rRNA from 1 species
AACGAACGCUGGCGGCAUGCCUAACACAUGCAAGUCGAACGAAACCUUCGGGUCUGGUGGCGCACGGGUGCGUAACGCGUGGGAACCUGCCCUUAGGUUCGGAAUAACUCCCCGAAAGGGGUGCUAAUACCGGAUAAUGUCUUCGGACCAAAGAUUUAUCGCCUUUGGUUGGGCCCGCGUUGGAUUAGCUAGUGGGUAGGGUAAAAGCAUACCAAGGCGACGAUCCAUAGCUGGUUUGUGAGGAGGAUCAGCCACACUGGGACUGAGCCACGGCCCAGACUCCUACGGGAGGCAGCAGUGGGGAAUAUAGGACAAUGGGCGAAAGGCUGAUCCAGCACGGCCGCGUGAGUGAUGAAGGCGUUAGGGUUGUAAAGCUCUUUUAACCGGGAUGAUAAUGACAGUACCGGGAGAAUAAGCACCGGCUAACUCCGUG